GCGCUAUAGCUAUGAAUGGCACGGCGGAAAAACCGCUGAUUGGCUGAAAAAUCCGUUGUCUUGGAGCAUGCUCAAGCGCUCGCCGCUGACAAUUUGCGGCUGCAAACGAGUUUCGAAAAUGUCUGAAUAUUUUGCAAGCGGGAGCAUAGAACAACAAGAAAUAUUGUGGAUUUUUACCCAGUUAGAACUUCUACUUGUCGCAGAGAAUGCGGAUUAAGCAAAAAUAUUGGAGUACAGAUGACUUAACACAAUGAACACAGCAUAAUGGAAAGCUAUGUUGAAAGUUAGACCUCAGAUUUUCACAGCUGUCCUCCUCUCUUUCAAUUACUUGGUUCUCUGGCUGGAGACAAUGUGAUGUGGCCAUGUACAUCAACUUGAAGAAGUUUUUUUCGUGGAUGAAAUGAAUGCCACUUCUUGGAGAGGAUACUAAAUGAUAUGUCCCCUUUUAUAAAAAGAUUAUGGAAUAAGAAAAGGGACAAUUAAGGAACCAAAUGCAUGAAAAAAGUAUUUCAGGAUUCCCCAGUAAUUAAUAAAGAAAAAUGUUUGAAGACAGAAAAAUUAUAGUUUGGUAAACAACUUGGUUGGGAUUUGACCUCUUAAAAAUUUGUAGAUCAUAAUAUUUUGGUGUGGAAGUUUAUGCAAUAUUUAACAACAAUAUUAUUCUUUGCAAUCGAGGUGAAUAGUGGCUGUUAUUCACUGACAUUGACAAGUUUUUAGUAUAUGUACAAAGUGAUCUCAACAACAGAUGAAAGGGAAACCAUUAAAAGAUAAUUUAAUUGACCUCU